rnacentral:rRNA from 1 species
UACAGAGGGUGCGAGCGUUAAUCGGAAUUACUGGGCGUAAAGCGUGCGUAGACGGUAGCGUAAGUCAGAUGCGAAAGCCCCGGGCUCAACCUGGGAAUUGCAUUUGAGACUGCUCUGCUCGGGUGCGGAAGAGGGAAGCGGAAUUUCCGGUGUAGUGGUGAAAUGCGUAGAUAUCGGGAGGAACACCAGUGGCGAAGGCGGCAUCCUGGCCCUGUCCUGACGCUCAGGGGCGAAAGCGUGGGGAGCAAACCGG